rnacentral:rRNA from 1 species
GACGAACGCUGGCGGCGUGCUUAACACAUGCAAGUCGAACGGAAAGGCCCUGCUUUUGUGGGGUGCUCGAGUGGCGAACGGGUGUGUAACACGUGAGUAACCUGCCCUUGACUUUGGGAUAACUUCAGGAAACUGGGGCUAUUAUCGGAUAGGAGCUCCUGCUGCAUGGUGGGGGUUGGAAAGUUUCGGCGGUUGGGGAUGGACUCGCGGCUUAUCAGCUUGUUGGUGGGGUAGUGGCGUACCAAGGCUUUGACGGGUAGCCGGCCUGAGAGGGUGACCGGCCACAUUGGGACUGAGAUACGGCCCAGACUCCUACGGGAGGCAGCAGUGGGGAAUAUUGCACAAUGGGCGGAAGCCUGAUACAGCAACGCCGCGUGCGGGAUGACGGCCUUCGGGUUGUAAACCGCGUUAGCCUGUGACGAAGCGUGAGUGACGGUAAUGGGUAAAGAAGCACCGGCUAACUACGUG